rnacentral:rRNA from 1 species
GACGAACGCUGGCGGCGUGCUUAACACAUGCAAGUCGAGCGGUAAGGCCCCUUCGGGGGUACACGAGCGGCGAACGGGUGAGUAACACGUGGGUGACCUGCCCUCAGCUCUGGGAUAAGCCUGGGAAACUGGGUCCAAUACCGGAUAUGACUCCAUGACGCAUGUCGUGGGGUGGAAAGCCUUGUGCGGCUGGGGGAUGGGCCCGCGGCCUAUCAGCUUGUUGGUGGGGUAACGGCCUACCAAGGCGACGAUCCAUAGCUGGUCUGAGAGGACGAUCAGCCACACUGGGACUGAGACACGGCCCAGACUCCUACGGGAGGCAGCAGUGGGGAAUCUUGCGCAAUGGGCGAAAGCCUGACGCAGCGACGCCGCGUGGGGAAGAAGGCCUUAGGGUUGUAAACCUCUUUCAGCAGGGACGAAGCUACUCGGGUUAAUAGCCCAGAGGGUGACGGUACCUGCAGAAGAAGCCCGGCUAACUACGUGCCAGCAGCCGCCGCGGUAAC